GUGAAAAUAAGAAAUUAUCGAACAAAUUCGUUUAGACGAGAGCUGCUAGUAGUAGUUA
rnacentral:ncRNA from 1 species